rnacentral:rRNA from 1 species
GUGGGGAAUAUUGGGCAAUGGGCGAAAGCCUGACCCAGCAACGCCGCGUGAAGGAAGAAGGUUUUCGGAUCGUAAACUUCUAUCCUUGGUGAAGAUAAUGACGGUAGCCAAGAAGGAAGCCCCGGCUAACUACGUGCCAGCAGCCGCGGUAAUACGUAGGGGGCAAGUGUAGGCCGGAAUGAUUGGGCGUAAAGGGCGCGUAGGCGGCCCGGUAAGUCUGAAGUGAAAGUACUGCUUUUAAGGUGGGAAUUGCUUUGGAUACUGUCGGGCUUGAGUGCAUGAGAGGUAAGCGGAAUUCCCGGUGUAGCGGUGAAAUGCGUAGAGAUCGGGAGGAACACCAGUGGCGAAGGCGGCUUACUGGACUGUAACUGACGCUGAGGCGCGAAAGUGUGGGGAGCAAACAGGAUUAGAUACCCGGGUAGUCC